rnacentral:rRNA from 1 species
CCUACGGGAGGCAGCAGUGGGGAAUAUUGCACAAUGGGCGCAAGCCUGAUGCAGCGACGCCGCGUGCGGGAUGGAGGCCUUCGGGUUGUAAACCGCUUUUGUUCAAGGGCAAGGCACGGUUUCGGCCGUGUUGAGUGGAUUGUUCGAAUAAGCACCGGCUAACUACGUGCCAGCAGCCGCGGUAAUACGUCGGUGCCAGCAGCCGCGGUAAUACGUAGGUGCCAGCAGCCGCGGUAAU